AAGCGCUUGCAACCAGACUUGCACGCGGUUAAUCAUCCGGUGUUCUCACCGGUGCACUUGACCGCGUUCAGGCCAGCAUCGGUUCGGGUGGCAGGAUAAAGGCCUUGGGAAUGUAGCUUCUUUCGGGGAGUGUUAUAGCCUGUGGUGUAAUACACCCUCUGGGACCGAGGACCGCGCUCUGCAAGGAUGCUGGCGUAAUGGUCAUCAGCGA
rnacentral:rRNA from 1 species